CUGAUUUUAAAUCAUCUCCUCUGAUGUCAGGUCUCACAUCCCGGUCACACUGAUGCAAGAGGUGGGUUCCCUUGGUCUUGGGCAUCUUCGUCCUGUGGCUUUCCAGGAUACAGCCUCCCUUCUGGCUCCUUUCACAGGCUAGCAUCGGAUGUCUGUGGCUUUUCCAGCUUUUAACUAGAAUUGGAACUGAGAAGAAACAGCUUUUCCAAAGAUCCUUGUGUGACUGAAUUGCAGAUGAUGGGCUCAAGUCACUCCCCAAUAGGAUGUGUUCUUCCAGGCCCUUGGCCCAUCACUCACCCAAGAAUGGGGGAGAGGACCCACCAGGCAUGGAUAUCCACAAUAGGAGCAGAAAAUCUUGUGCACCAUUUUAGAAAUCUGUCUGCAAAACGAUGUGUAAAAAUCUCAGAUGAUUAUUCUCACCUCACAGAAGCAAGACUGGUAAAUAAGUUUUGGAGAUGGAGAUAAAACAGAAUCAAUUAAAGAAGAAGAAAAGGAAGAGGAAAAUCUCCCAAACUGAUCUGUGUUCAAUGUUCCUUUGAACUUUCUCUCCUACUGUACUCUUUAUAUUUUAAUGACUCGCGUGUUCGCCAUUUAUGCAGGAACAUACCCUUAAUGUGCUCAGCAGCACUGCGUAUCUUCCAUACAUGAGACAGACCACCCAGCAAAAUACCAACCUAAUUUGGAGUUUAUGAAGUAUUAUCCAUUUGUCUAAAAUGUACUGUAUUAAAACUUAUAAU
rnacentral:lncRNA from 13 species